rfam:Stegodyphus mimosarum contig66412, whole genome shotgun sequence.
AGUGUUUCUAGCUCCACUUAAAUCAAAGAGG